GCCUUCGUAGCUCAGACUGGCCAGAGCGGCUGAUUCGUAAUCAGCAGGCCGAGGGUUCAAAUCCCUCCGGAGGCU
rnacentral:tRNA from 1 species